rnacentral:rRNA from 1 species
UACGGGGGGGGCAAGCGUUGUUCGGAAUUACUGGGCGUAAAGGGCUCGUAGGCGGCCAACUAAGUCAGGCGUGAAAUCCCUCGGCUUAACCGGGGAACUGCGUCUGAUACUGGAUGGCUUGAGUUUGGGAGAGGGAUGCGGAAUUCCAGGUGUAGCGGUGAAAUGCGUAGAUAUCUGGAGGAACACCGGUGGCGAAGGCGGCAUCCUGGGCCGGUAUUGACGCUGAGGAGCGAAAGCCAGGGGAGCAAACGGG